rnacentral:rRNA from 1 species
GAUGAACGCUGGCGGCGUGCCUAAUACAUGCAAGUCGAGCGAACGGACGAGAAGCUUGCUUCUCUGAUGUUAGCGGCGGACGGGUGAGUAACACGUGGAUAACCUACCUAUAAGACUGGGAUAACUUCGGGAAACCGGAGCUAAUACCGGAUAAUAUUUUGAACCGCAUGGUUCAAAAGUGAAAGACGGUCUUGCUGUCACUUAUAGAUGGAUCCGCGCUGCAUUAGCUAGUUGGUAAGGUAACGGCUUACCAAGGCAACGAUGCAUAGCCGACCUGAGAGGGUGAUCGGCCACACUGGAACUGAGACACGGUCCAGACUCCUACGGGAGGCAGCAGUAGGGAAUCUUCCGCAAUGGGCGAAAGCCUGACGGAGCAACGCCGCGUGAGUGAUGAAGGUCUUCGGAUCGUAAAACUCUGUUAUUAGGGAAGAACAUAUAUGUAAGUAACUGUGCACAUCUUGACGGUACCUAAUCAGAAAGCCACGGCUAACUACGUGCCAGCAGCCGCGGUAAUACGUAGGUGGCAAGCGUUAUCCGGAAUUAUUGGGCGUAAAGCGCGCGUAGGCGGUUUUUUAAGUCUGAUGUGAAAGCCCACGGCUCAACCGUGGAGGGUCAUUGGAAACUGGAAAACUUGAGUGCAGAAGAGGAAAGUGGAAUUCCAUGUGUAGCGGUGAAAUGCGCAGAGAUAUGGAGGAACACCAGUGGCGAAGGCGACUUUCUGGUCUGUAACUGACGCUGAUGUGCGAAAGCGUGGGGAUCAAACAGGAUUAGAUACCCUGGUAGUCCACGCCGUAAACGAUGAGUGCUAAGUGUUAGGGGGUUUCCGCCCCUUAGUGCUGCAGCUAACGCAUUAAGCACUCCGCCUGGGGAGUACGACCGCAAGGUUGAAACUCAAAGGAAUUGACGGGGACCCGCACAAGCGGUGGAGCAUGUGGUUUAAUUCGAAGCAACGCGAAGAACCUUACCAAAUCUUGACAUCCUUUGACAACUCUAGAGAUAGAGCUUUCCCCUUCGGGGGACAAAGUGACAGGUGGUGCAUGGUUGCCGUCAGCUCGUGUCGUGAGAUGUUGGGUUAAGUCCCGCAACGAGCGCAACCCUUAAGCUUAGUUGCCAUCAUUAAGUUGGGCACUCUAAGUUGACUGCCGGUGACAAACCGGAGGAAGGUGGGGAUGACGUCAAAUCAUCAUGCCCCUUAUGAUUUGGGCUACACACGUGCUACAAUGGACAAUACAAAGGGCAGCGAAACCGCGAGGUCAAGCAAAUCCCAUAAAGUUGUUCUCAGUUCGGAUUGUAGUCUGCAACUCGACUACAUGAAGCUGGAAUCGCUAGUAAUCGUAGAUCAGCAUGCUACGGUGAAUACGUUCCCGGGUCU